rnacentral:rRNA from 1 species
AUUGAACGCUGGCGGCAUGCCUUACACAUGCAAGUCGAACGGUAACAGGUCUUCGGAUGCUGACGAGUGGCGAACGGGUGAGUAAUACAUCGGAACGUGCCCGAUCGUGGGGGAUAACGAAGCGAAAGCUUUGCUAAUACCGCAUAAGAUCUACGGAUGAAAGCAGGGGACCGCAAGGCCUUGCGCGAACGGAGCGGCCGAUGGCAGAUUAGGUAGGUGGUGGGAUAAAAGCUUACCAAGCCGACGAUCUGUAGCUGGUCUGAGAGGACGACCAGCCACACUGGGACUGAGACACGGCCCAGACUCCUACGGGAGGCAGCAGUGGGGAAUUUUGGACAAUGGGCGAAAGCCUGAUCCAGCCAUGCCGCGUGCAGGAUGAAGGCCUUCGGGUUGUAAACUGCUUUUGUACGGAACGAAAAGACUCUUUCUAAUAAAGAGGGUCCAUGACGGUACCGUAAGAAUAAGCACCGGCUAACUACGUGCCAGCCGCCGCGGUAA